rnacentral:rRNA from 1 species
CACGUAGGGACCGAGCGUUGUCCGGAAUCAUUGGGCGUAAAGAGCUCGUAGGCGGUUCAGUAAGUCGGGUGUGAAAACUUUGGGCUUAACCCAAAGCGUGCAUCCGAUACUGCUGUGACUUGAGUUCGGUAGGGGAGUGGGGAAUUCCUAGUGUAGCGGUGAAAUGCGCAGAUAUCAGGAGGAACACCGGUGGCGAAGGCGGUUCUCUGGGCCUUACCUGACGCUGAGGAGCGAAAGCGUGGGGGAGCGAACAGG